AUGUUUUGCUCCACAGUAGCAUAUAAGAAAUGUCUAAAGUUGCAUUUCCGGUGUUACCAUAUCUUGUCUUCCUGCCUGCAGCUUGUGGCUUCCCUGUUUCAGUGCUGGUCACAUGGAAGCGCUCAUGCUAUGGAAAGUGGAAUUGAAACGAUCUCCGGUCUAUGGUUGGAGGGGCUGGGCCUGAGGCGUGCACAAUGCUGCUGAGCUAGAAAGCUUGUGGCUUCCCAGUCUCUGCGCUGGUCACAUGGAAGCGCUCAUGCUAUGGAAAGUGGAAUUAGUGGGUAAGCUAAAAACCAGACUAGUUCUGGGCUGAAAUGUCUGUUCUUCUCCACACCCCAACCCUGCU
rnacentral:lncRNA from 1 species